rnacentral:lncRNA from 1 species
GUUUGCCCUGGAGCCCUAAGAACUAAGCCUGGGCCUAGGAACCGCAGGAAGUCUCUAAUUUCAAAACGGGGCGUUUCCGGAAUGAGCAGAAAAUGAGCAGGAAAAGCAAAGCCCACUGGUGAUGCCCAAUGUCUCUGCAGCACCAUAGGAGGAGGCCCGAGGCUGCCGUGUCACCUGAGAGAGAGUGUGGGGUCAGCCAGGCCUACAUCUGAGACCAUGUCUAGAGACAAGGGAGGAGCUCCCUCCAAGCCUUGGACUCCAGCUGGUGACACUACUUUAGAAACCUUAAGAGGGAAGCCUAAUCAAAGGCAUACAGGAAACUGAAAAGAAAAGGAAGCUGCCUCCUCCCUCACCCUGUCAUCCCCCAGCUGGGCAAACUGCAUCUCUCCCAUGUGACUCAGCUCUCUCCAUCUACAGUGUCAUUCCACCCAAACCAAAUAAAACAGUGGAGGACUGACUGGAUUCUCAUGUCAAUAUUUGUUUCUGAUUCUGAAAUUCUACAGUAGUAAUAUUUUCCGUGUUACCCAGCCACCUGGGUAGGUUUUAAUUAUAGUGCCUGGGCUGCAGAGGAGCUCAGCAUUCACUGGCUGCUCUUGGAGAAGACCUGCUUUGAUUCCCAGCACUCAAAAGGCAUCUCAGAAGUGUUUGCAAGUGCACCCCAGAGGAUCCAAUAUCCUCAAUAGAACAUGAACAAAAUUUCAAGGAUUUUCUUCCUUCCUUCCUUCCUUCCUU